rnacentral:rRNA from 1 species
UACGGAGGAUGCAAGCGUUAUCCGGAUUUAUUGGGUUUAAAGGGUGCGCAGGUUGUUUGAUAAGUCAGUGGUGAAAGUCUGUCGCUUAACGGUAGGAUUGCCAUUGAUACUGUUGGACUUGAAUAUGGAUGAGGUAGGCGGAAUGUGUAGUGUAGCGGUGAAAUGCAUAGAUAUCACGAGGAACUCCGAUUGCGCAGGCAGCUUACUAAACUACUACUGACGCUCAGGCACGAAGGCGUGGGGAUCAAACAGGA